GCGGGGCCAUGCUGGAUUGUUUCAUUUCCCAGAUCGGGGACUGAGAGAGGCACCUUCUCUUUCCACGGUGGUUGCGUCCAAACGUUCUGGCCUAUGCAUGAGGCGCUCCCCCGGUUGGGGAAGUUUGUCGAAACCCCGUUGGAAGUCGACACGUUGGAACGCAACACUGUAACCUUCAAAUCUGGAGCACUUCACGCGUUACGUAGGCGCAAAGUUGGACUUAUUAUUUCGAAGAUCUUGUUUCAAACCCGAAUUGGAUUAUUAGGAAGUUCCGUGACCCAUUCAGUUCCGGUUCUUAAGGCGCACAGCUUUUGCAACGGAAAGAAGUGUGUAGAAAAACCUUGAAAUUCGCAUAAUUUUAUACUCUUACUUACACACAUCCGCCUCACUGUAUGUGAAUGGUGAGCGUGGUACAGUUCUUGACCUAUUCAUGUUUGCUGUAACAGCCAGCUGCAAAGUAUAUUGCUUAGUGCUUUUCUGUUUCUUGCAAAAGUCUUAAUUGCAUUAUAUGGGCUGAAAGGUGAUGCUGCAAAAGAGUCCCUCAUCUGCUAUAUAGACAGAAAUAAUAAAUCCAGUCAAAAAAAAUUUAAAUCCAAAGGUAUUUUCCCACGGAAGUGCACAUCUGGUCAUAUUUAGGAACGAUGGCUUUUAAUUUAAAGAGAAAGUGGGAUGUCAGAUGCUACUAAUUUUGGUGGGUAAAUUGACUCCAGAAUUGAAUGCAGCUUGUCUCUGAAGCCCAGUAGGUAUUGUGGAAGAAUUGAAUUGACAUUGAAUUCCCAGUUUGAGUUCCUGGGUGAUACAUAAAUAAAUAUUAGUUUUAAUACCAA